AGAGUUUGAUCAUGGCUCAGGACGAACGCUGGCGGCGUGCUUAACACAUGCAAGUCGAACGGAAAGGCCCUGCUUGCAGGGUACUCGAGUGGCGAACGGGUGAGUAACACGUGGGUGAUCUGCCCUGCACUUCGGGAUAAGCCUGGGAAACUGGGUCUAAUACCGGAUAGGAGCCAUUUUUAGUGUGAUGGUUGGAAAGUUUUUUCGGUGUAGGAUGAGCUCGCGGCCUAUCAGCUUGUUGGUGGGGUAAUGGCCUACCAAGGCGGCGACGGGUAGCCGGCCUGAGAGGGUGGACGGCCACAUUGGGACUGAGAUACGGCCCAGACUCCUACGGGAGGCAGCAGUGGGGGAUAUUGCACAAUGGGCGCAAGCCUGAUGCAGCGACGCCGCGUGGGGGAUGACGGCCUUCGGGUUGUAAACUCCUUUCGCUAGGGACGAAGCUUUUUGUGACGGUACCUAGAUAAGAAGCACCGGCUAACUACGUGCCAGCAGCCGCGGUAAUACGUAGGGUGCGAGCGUUGUCCGGAAUUACUGGGCGUAAAGGGCUCGUAGGUGGUUUGUCGCGUCGUCUGUGAAAUUCCGGGGCUUAACUCCGGGCGUGCAGGCGAUACGGGCAUAACUUGAGUACUGUAGGGGUAACUGGAAUUCCUGGUGUAGCGGUGAAAUGCGCAGAUAUCAGGAGGAACACCGAUGGCGAAGGCAGGUUACUGGGCAGUUACUGACGCUGAGGAGCGAAAGCAUGGGUAGCGAACAGGAUUAGAUACCCCGGUAGUCC
rnacentral:rRNA from 1 species